AUGGCCGCGAAGCACCCGCCGCCCCAGCCGCGAGCCCGCCGCGCACACUCGCGCGCGCCCCGGACCCCCGCCGCACGCCGGGCGCCCCUCCCCCGCGGCCCCCUCCCCGCGCCUGUCCCCUCCCCCCGCCGCCGCGCUCACCUGCUCAGGGGGCGCCCCCGGGCCGCGCCCCGCGCCCACACCCAGGAGGGCCCCCGCGCGCCGGCUGCGCACCCCCAGGCAGCCCCGGCUGCACAACUUGGAACAAGUUGCUCCGUUUCCUCAUUUUGGGGUGGGGGGGCAGGGCCGGGGGAGCGGGGGAGCGGGAGGCGCCGCGGCCGGGAGCCCCCGCAGGUCCUAGCGCCGGCCGCACUGCGGUCUCCUCCGCGCGCCGCCGCCGCCGCCGCCGCCGCGGCCCCUCCCCGCCCCGCCCCGCCCGAGGCCCCCGCGCCGCCCGCCCCGCCCGAGGGGGGCCGGGGCGCUCGCCAGCUGCCCCCUCCCCGGCCCGGUGCCGCGGGGCGCGCACCCCGCCCACCUGGAAGCCCAGGCCGCGGGGCGCGGGGCGGGUGCCGCGCACGGGGCGGGGGGCGAGGCGGGAACGCGAGAGUGAGCUGCCCGUCCGGGGAGAGAAGCAAGCCGCAGAGCCCGGACGCCGCAGGGAUUCCAACGCGCUCGCUCACCUCCCUGCCAGGAGGGUCGUUGGCGUCUGGUGCAAAGAAGUGCUCAGAAAUGCCGCCGGUCACCAGUGCUGUUAGGAUCGCCAGCAACAGUAAGGGGGUGUGGGGGCCCCGGAAGAAAGGUCACGGGGACCCGGGGAACCCGAGGCCUCGGGCUGGAGCGGCCGCCUCGGAGGGCGCAGUGGAGCCCGCCCGGGUCAACCCGCUGAGCCGGGGCUCGACCUCCCUCCGCGGGGCCCGCACCGCGGCUUCGACCUCGGACCUGGCGCAGCGGUUCAGUCGCUGCACAUCUGGGGCCGGCGCCCUGGGCCUGGCCUGGGCGCCCAGCGAGCUCUGCUUCUCCUCGGGGAGUCCGCUUGGACCAGCAUGGAGCUGGUGGGAGGCGGUGAUGAGCCAGGACGCCCGGGAGCCCGAGUCCUGCGGCCCCAAGAUGCCCACUUGCCCAAAAGCCUAA
rnacentral:lncRNA from 12 species